UAGUUCUUGGCUCACAGGAGAAAAUUGUUCAUCAUUUUCGAUGACUUUGGUAAGAGAGCCUUUGACGAUUGCGUCACGUGUUGCUUCAUUGUUCACUGCAGUUGUCUGUUGUCAGGAAUCUGAUGGAGUUUUGUUUCUUUUAAGGUGGGAAUUUGGUUAAAGAAAUCUCCCUCCAAUUAAAGUUAAAAUUUUUUAAAACAGAAACCUGCUAAAUUUCAGCUUUCAAGACUGAAAGUGGACCUUUGUCGACCGGCCGCGUGGCCUAAUGGAUAAGGCGUCUGAUUCCGGAUCAGAAGAUUGAGGGUUCGAGUCCCUUCGUGGUCGUUUGUUCCUUGGCGAACAAGAAUUGGUCAGCUUUUUUGCGCAUUUUCCAGCCAGUUUCCAAUGGCUGACCUUUGAGAAGAAAAUCUGAAAGGUGGCAAGAAUUUUCAAAAAGGAAAAUUAGCUUUUUAAAACAAAUAAUUGCCAAUAACUUGCACUUUGUUAUUGGCAUCUAAUUACCAAAUAUCAAGUAGCGAAGUACUCAUGCCUGUGAGGUUAUUGAUACCAUAGUGACCUUGGAUUUUCUGGCUCAGAGUCCUUCUCUAGAACUGGUAGAUAGUAGCUAAGAAAAGGAUAGGAAGGGGUAUAAAAGUGCACUGCGAAUUUUUCUCUGAAGAAAGCUGGGUUUCAAAAAUUGUCUAAGAGUUGGGAAUAUGUGUUUGAAAGGCAGGGGUAGAUACUAAACCUUGGACAUGCACUUGUGACUCAGAGUCUAAUGCUUGUCAACUGAACUAUCUUGAUUCAGGAAUCCAACUUUUCCUGAGAACUUACUCAAAGCUAAUAAGCGGAUUAUUCUCUAACCUUUUUUUUUACUGUUUGCCUUCAUUAUAAAUACAGGGCACCAAUAUUUGAGGAGUUCAUGCCACACCUGGUAGAGUGUGGGCUGGACUCCCCCCGACCCCCUACUUUUCCUAUCCCAUCCUGUCUCCUUUUGCCAAAAUAGCCACCCUGUGUGGAACUAAGACUAUGGAGUAGAAGUGGGACGGCUGCAAAGGCAAUACAUUGGAUCAUGGGUUUUCCUUUCAUAUGAGCAGGGAAAUUGUGAGAAAAUGAAUGAAAAAGUUCAAGAAGGAUUUGGUUACAGAGUAAAGAACACAGAUGGAGACACAGGAAUAUUACUCAAGAUUUUGUAUGUGGAAGGCACCUAUGCAGCUGUAGUCUAUCUAGGCACCUGUCCUCUCUUUUUCAUUCCCUCCCCUGCCAGAAGAUUUAGGAUUUUCUCUAAAAUCUGUAUCUAGAUUAACAGUUUGCCUAAAGGUGGGAAGUGUCGGCUUUCUGCCCCUUGGGGACUGAUGAACUUUUAGGUUUUGUCCACGCAUAGAGAAGGUCUAUAAAGAGGAAAUUUGUUUCUCAGGUUGUGCCUUGUUUCCCUUGCGCUCUCCUCCUUGCAUAAAUAAUUUAAUUUGAAAGAGACGCUUUAAUAACAGAGCGCGCACCUUUCUCCUCUCUCCUCUGGUCGCCGCCUCUCUAGCAUUGUCUACAGACCCAGAGCUAUUAGCUUCGCUAUAACAAAACCGCAGUCACAUUCCAAAUCCAGAUGCUAAAUAUGGUUUGCAAGAGGUGCGAGACUGCCUGAGACACGUACUUACCGCUCUUUGUUUCGGUCAAAUAUUGGGGAUUAAUUUAUUAACUUCACAACUGGACCUACUUUUUCCUUGGCCGCUCUCACGGAACGCGUCUUUUACUCCCGGCACUCCCUUUUGCGUCUUUUAGGCAGAGGAGGACUUCCAAAAAAAAAAGGAAGAAUCUGAAAACAAAAUAAACAUUUAGUCCCGAGACUCUCCCACGUGGUGGACUGGAACUGAUACAAGAGGUAGUUUGGCUAAAAGCAGUCCUUGGUGGGGAUGAGGGGUCUGAGAAGAUCUAAGGGUUUCUAGUCCUGAAUCCUCUUCUCUUUUUUCUGCCGUAGCUGAGAGACAGGAUUCAGUCCAGAGGUUUCAGAAACAAGAGAACUGAAUAGAAUAGAUUUUAGCUUGCCAACACCCUCCCACAAUGAUAAAUAAAUAAUAUGGGAUAAACAGUAAAUGCAGGCGUUAGGGGGUGUAGCUCAGUGGUAGAGCGCGCGCUUAGCAUGCACGAGGCCCUGGGUUCAAUCCCCAGCACCUCCAGUUAUCAGUCGUUGUUUUUGUAACUCCUCACUGCUUAGGUCUACAGCUUUCUUCGUUAAGACCUUAUUUUGAGUGUCUUUUGGUACUUAGUCAUUUAACUAUGGAUGUCGACGUUGGACCUUGAUAUACUUUGGACCUUCCAACUUUGACUACUUCAGUAGGAACAAAACCGGGAAGCAGGUGAAGUAAGGACGAUGCUCAGUCAGUCAGUCUCCUGAAGGCAAAACAGCAAACACACCAUAUAUAGCUCAUUCUCCUUUGCUGCCCUUUUUUUUUUUUUUUUUUUUUUUUUUUUUUUUUUUUUUUUUUUUAAGGAGCCGGGAAGAAAAAAAGACAGACUGAAAGAGAAGGUUGAAAAGGAGGCCUUUGGAAAAAUUCCUUUAGAUUACUACCCCCCAACACGGUUUUCCCCUCAGCUGUGCUUGUGGCAAUGGACAGACUGCAGGCUCCAGAGAAAUUUUUCCUUCUUGCUUGGCUUUCCCUUCUCGCCCCUGCACUUCCGCCACACACGGGACUUCGGUUGCGCAGGAAACAGUCAAUCACCAGUCACGAGCUCUGAGUUCUGCGUGUGGAGGUUUAGGAUACUGUCCACGGGAAAGACGUUCCUCACGAAACUCAGAGGCUUUCAAAAUCCAUAGUUGAAAAAAGUAUUUCCAGAGUUGGAAAGAGCAGCCAGUCUGUCUCAAAAGCCGCCUUGGGCAAAAAGGGCUGUGCCUUCCUGUGGCACAAACGCUUUUAAUCCCGCUCAAUUUAGGAGGAAGAGAACUUUCUGGUUUCCUGCAUCCCUCGAAGGAGCAGAGGAGACAACAAUGUGGGCGCAAAUUACCUCCAGGGCCAUCCAAAGAGUGCGCAUCCGUAAAGACCUAGCCCAAAGCCCCCUUUGCCGUUUCCUCUUCUAGUUCCUCCUCUCCAGUCGCUACUGCCUGCCUCUUCCUAUUUCCCCCCUUUCCCACUACCGCUGCGUCACCUUCUCCUCCACUUUCCCUCCCCUUCCGUCUCCCCUUUUAUUCCUUUUCACCACUUCCUUGUGGCUAAUUGUGUCAGCAAUUCACUUCAGUUCCCGCAGCUCCACUUUCUUGGUUAGCAGUUCUCAAACCUGGUUGAGAAACAAAAUCAUCGGGGGGCGGGGGGGCAUUUCAAUUGUAUAAAUCCACCCCACCCGGUCUCGAGAUUCUUAGUGCACUCAGGUGGAGGGUAGGAAUACAAAUAUUUUUUUAAAUUCUCAGACGGUUCCCCAGGUUCGGAAACCAUUGCAUUCUACCCUAAAACCUUUAUCUCUAUGUUAGAGGGUCACUUCUGGCGUCGCCUUUGUUAUUCACUAAGUGACUUUUAAAAGUCAUCUUGCCUCUAAGCAUGCAUUUUAGGACUUUUCAGCUCCAGCUGAGCCUCAUUCGGUUUUUUGAGGGAGGGGAGGAUCAGGGGAGGAAUGGAAGAAUUGAUAUAGAAUUGGUUUUGAUAUUCAGGAAAGUACAGAUUUUGCACUGGUGAGAAAAAGUAAAAGAGAAGACACAGUGAUUUAGGAUUACACCUAAAACUCUGUUUGGUCACCACAUGUUUUGGCAACAGGAGGAAAAUGUCUCUUCCUUGCACCUCUGUGAUGGCCGAGGUUUGAGUAUUUGUUCAAGAGCAUUGAAUUGGGGUGGGGAGGUUGUUACACAAGUUUAAUUCGCUUCACCGUUCUUGCUCAGCCUCUGAAAUGUCUCCAUUAUGCUUCUUUGUGGAUCUCAGAAGCAGAACUGCAGAGUCCCAGAGACAAAGCACUGAUGAGUUUCCUGACUUUAACCCUUGGCUCCAGAAUUUGCUAGAGUUACUGUCUGCAUCAACAUAUACUUGAUGUUUUGGGACCCACUGUCUCUUUCUGUCUAGAUCUAAAUUCCCCAGGGAAAGUUUCAUGUUCUGCUCUUUUGCACCUUUUCCCUAGCAUUUUCAGUCGGGGUUGACAGCCAGAAAAGCAUUGAAGAUGCAGGGCCCCAGUGUGAUGAGGUGGAAAACCCAUCAUCUCACCAGAGGCUACGGGGAGAAGGAGCAACCUAUUUGGAGUUCCAGCCUGAAGCCGCUGGAGAUAACGUGGGCCAUGCGCAUCCACGGCUAAGUCUUCAUAGUCUUAGGGUUUAGAUAUUCCCUUCUGGAAAAAUGUAUCCAGAGUGUGGAUUCCCUCAUGGGAUACAGUGGUUAGAGUACUGUUGCUUAUUCGGACUUUUAAUCUCUCAUGGCUUUUGACAGGUGACUGAGAGAUUUCCCUAAGGCAGUAUGGGUGCUCCACACCAAAUACAGUGAGGCUGUAAAGAACAAAAGGAAAAAUGCCCUGAGAAUCCAUGCUUGGCAGAAUGGAAAAAGUUAGUCUAAGCUGUUUUUCACUGCUUUGUCUACUCUCCCAAGUCAGGAGUCUAGAGAAGGAAAGCUCAUUCACUUAGUCUUUGCCUUCAAAUCGUUUAGACAGCAGCAUGACAACUGCAUACUUGGAUAGAGACAGCCUGAGAUGGUCCUGGUAGGAAGGAGGCUUUGGGCUUGGCUGGUUUGAACAUCUGUCCAGAGGAAGCUGAGCUAUGACUGAUCCUGCUCUUUCUUGAGGUCUUAAAGGGACUGGGAGGAGCUUGCUUUCAGUUGCUCCAAAUGAGGGAAAUUAGACAUCAUCUUUUAAAUGUCGACCUCAUGUUUUAAAAUAUUCUUUUCUAAUACCAAAAGUAUCAUGCAAAGGUUUUGGUAAAGAAAAAUGGAACAAUUUUGGUACAUUCACCCAAUAUUUCAUGUGCACAGAAAACAAAGUGCAGGGCAAUGAUAUUCUGAAGUUUAUACUAAUUCCUCAACAAGUGUUUUCUGUUUGCUUGUUUCGUUAAAUAUAAGCAACUUAUAUGUUUAUUCUUAUUCUCACCCAAACGGCUUUGGCGACAUCUUCCUCUGGGACUUCGAUGUGGUGUUACAUGAGGUGUUGUUUAUCAUUUAAUGAUUUAAGAACAGAAACGUGAAGUUCAGGAAAUGUAGAAAGUAAGGAAUCGAAAUCCACUGCAUGCCAGUGUUCCUGAGAUUUUACCUCCACUAGAUGUAUCCGUUGAGGCGAUGGUGAGGAGUUAGUAUCUCCCAGUACAUAUUUGGCAUAAAUUUCCCGUGGAAGUCGAUUUAAUAUGGAAUAAAAAUAACUGCUGCCAAAACUAGGAUCUAACUUUUAAAAUCCGUUGGUGAACAGAAGAAAGGGUGGGGGAAAAAAUGUAAUUGUAAUGUAUACAUGUAAGGAUAACCUGACCCCCUUGCUGUACAGUGG
rnacentral:tRNA from 1 species